GUCACUGAAUAGCAACUAUAGAAGCGAUCAUGUGAAAAUGAUCUUUUAAUUAAUUUCAGGCAGAACAUUUCUCUGUUUCAACAUGACUGCUUGGCACAGGACAUUAUGAAGCACUCAAAGAGAUCCAAGCUCAGGCUUGAAAUGUCCCCUGGGGCUGGAGCAUUGGCUGCAUCACAAUUUUUCGGAAGACGCAUCUUGUGUGUAAGAGCCUGGGAGCCUGCCUUCCCAGCCCAACUCUCCCUGUAGCAAGAUUUACCGGCGUUGGAGCAAGUCAGUGUUUCAACAGACAUCGACAAAAAGAAAGACCCCUGAAGUUUUAACCAGUGACGUGACCAUAUUGGAAACGUGGUCAGCUGUCGCACCGAGGCCCAGCUGACUUUGUGAAUGUCCGUCAAGACACCCAGAUGAGGAAGGCAAGGCUGGGAGAGGCGAAGCUUUCCAGAGAAGCGAUGAAGCUGUAAGCUGAAGAGUCAGCAUGGGAACAGAGCCUUCCGUACUCCAGCAAUGACCUUUGUCUGACUCCUUCGUUGGCAAGACAGAUCAUUUUCUUUCCGAAUACAUUUCACACUGUGGAUGGACUAUGUACACUGAGCACUCCCUGUUUCUCUGAAAGCACUGGAAAAGUGUGUAACAUAAGAAAGAUAAUUAUUUGGGGCA